rfam:Trichobilharzia regenti genome assembly, scaffold: TRE_scaffold0007487
GUACUGAUGAAGAGUCCGAAACUGGGACGAAACGGUUGUCCAGUAC